rnacentral:rRNA from 1 species
CCUACGGGUGGCAGCAGUGGGGGAUAUUGCACAAUGGGCGAAACCCUGAUGCAGCGACGCCGCGUGAGUGAAGAAGUAUUUCGGUAUGUAAAGCUCUAUCAGCAGGGAAGAAAAUGAAAGUACGUGACUAAGAAGCCCCGGCUAACUACGUGCCAGCAUCCGCGGUAUUACGAAGGGGGCAAGCGUUAUCCGGAUUUACUGGGUGUAAAGGGAGCGUAGGCGGUUAUGUAAGUCUGGAGUGAAAGCCCCGGGCUCAACCCGGGGUCUGCAUUGGAAACUGUGUAACUGGAGUACAGGAGGGGAGGGCGGAAUUCCUGGUGUAGCGGUGAAAUGCGUAAAUAUAAGGAGGAACACCAGCGGCGAAGGCGGCCUGCUGGACUGAAACUGACGUUGAGGCUCGAAAGCGUGGGGAGCAAACAGGAUUAGAUACCCUAGUAGUC